rnacentral:lncRNA from 10 species
GUUUCCACAGCAUACAGAAUGUGUGACAUAUAUACUUCUAGUUUGGUUUGCACAUAUUUCCCUACUAAAGAAAGGAAUACUUGUUGGAGAAGUAAUAAGAAGGUGCAUUUAAUACAAGAAGGAUGAGCACAUGAGCUGGCAUCUAUGGUGGUCAUAUCCCUUCGGAGCAUUAGAUAACAAGUCUUCAAGAAAGGAGGAGAAAAUGGACUUCAGGGAAUGGUAAAUAUGCGUGAACAAUAC